UGAGGAAUAUUGGGUCAAUGGACGGGAGUCUGAACCAGCCAAGUAGCGUGCAGGAUGACGGCCCUAUGGGUUGUAAACUGCUUUUGUGCGGGGAUAAAGUGUGGGACGUGUCCCAUAUUGCAGGUACCGCAUGAAUAAGGACCGGCUAAUUCCGUGCCAGCAGCCGCGGUAAUACGGAAGGUCCGGGCGUUAUCCGGAUUUAUUGGGUUUAAAGGGAGCGUAGGCCGGAGAUUAAGCGUGUUGUGAAAUGCCGCGGCUCAACCGUGGCACUGCAGCGCGAACUGGUUUUCUUGAGUGCGCGCGACGCAGGCGGAAUUCGUGGUGUAGCGGUGAAAUGCUUAGAUAUCACGAAGAACUCCGAUUGCGAAGGCAGCUCACUGGAGCGCAACUGACGCUGAAGCU
rnacentral:rRNA from 1 species